GGGGGUAUAGCUCAGUUGGCUAGAGUGCUUGACUGGCAGUCAAGAGGUCAGGGGUUCGACUCCCCUUACCUCCACAA
rnacentral:tRNA from 1 species